AUUGAACGCUGGCGGCAUGCUUUACACAUGCAAGUCGAACGGCAGCGCGGGCUUCGGCCUGGCGGCGAGUGGCGAACGGGUGAGUAAUGCAUCGGAACGUGCCCAGUAGUGGGGGAUAGCCCGGCGAAAGCCGGAUUAAUACCGCAUACGACCUGAUGGUGAAAGCGGGGGACCGAAAGGCCUCGCGCUAUUGGAGCGGCCGAUGUCGGAUUAGCUAGUUGGUGGGGUAAAGGCUUACCAAGGCGACGAUCCGUAGCUGGUCUGAGAGGACGACCAGCCACACUGGGACUGAGACACGGCCCAGACUCCUACGGGAGGCAGCAGUGGGGAAUUUUGGACAAUGGGGGCAACCCUGAUCCAGCCACGCCGCGUGCGGGAAGAAGGCCUUCGGGUUGUAAACCGCUUUUGUUCGGGAAGAAAUCCUCUGGGCUAAUACCCCGGGGGGAUGACGGUACCGGAAGAAUAAGCACCGGCUAACUACGUG
rnacentral:rRNA from 1 species